rnacentral:misc_RNA from 1 species
UCUCCGUAGGUGAACCUGCGGAGGGAUCAUUACCGAGAGAGGGUGCUCUGCGCGCCCGACCUCCCAACCCUUUGAUGACUUACCGCGUUGCCUCGGCAGAAGUUAUAGGUCUUCUUAUAGCUGCUGCCGGUGGACCAUUAAACUCUUGUUAUUUUAUGUAAUCUGAGCGUCUUAUUUUAAUAAGUCAAAACUUUCAACAACGGAUCUCUUGGUUCUGGCAUCGAUGAAGAACGCAGC